GACGAACGCUGGCGGCGUGCUUAACACAUGCAGGUCGAACGGAAAGGCCCCCUUGUGGGGUACUCGAGUGGCGAACGGGUGAGUAACACGUGAGUAACCUACCCUUGACUUUGGGAUAACUUCAGGAAACUGGGGCUAAUACCGGAUAGGAGCUCCUGCUGCAUGGUGGGGGUUGGAAAGUUUCGGCGGUUGGGGAUGGACUCGCGGCUUAUCAGCUUGUUGGUGGGGUAGUGGCUCACCAAGGCUUUGACGGGUAGCCGGCCUGAGAGGGUGACCGGCCACAUUGGGACUGAGAUACGGCCCAGACUCCUACGGGAGGCAGCAGUGGGGAAUAUUGCACAAUGGGCGGAAGCCUGAUGCAGCAACACCGCGUGCGGGAUGACGGCCUUCGGGUUGUAAACCGCUUUCGCCUGUGACGAAGCGUGAGUGACGGUAAUGGGUAAAGAAGCACCGGCUAACUACGUG
rnacentral:rRNA from 1 species